UACGGAGGGGGCGAGCGUUCUUCGGAAUUAUUGGGCGUAAAGGGCGCGUAGGCGGCUCGAUAAGUCAAAGGUGAAAUCCCUCGGCUCAACUGAGGAACUGCCUUUGAUACUGUAGAGCUUGAGUCCGGGAGGGGGUAGCGGAAUUCCCAGUGUAGCGGUGAAAUGCGUAGAUAUUGGGAGGAACACCAGUGGCGAAGGCGGCUUCCUGGACCGGAACUGACGCUGAGGCGCGAAAGCGUGGGUAGCAAACAGG
rnacentral:rRNA from 1 species